GGACUCAUAGCUCAGUUGGUUAGAGCGCUACAUUGACAUUGUAGAGGUCAGAAGUUCGAAUCUUCUUGGGUCCACCA
rnacentral:tRNA from 1 species